rnacentral:rRNA from 1 species
AGAUUGAACGCUGGCGGCAUGCUUUACACAUGCAAGUCGAACGGCAGCACGGGGGCAACCCUGGUGGCGAGUGGCGAACGGGUGAGUAAUACAUAGGAACGUAUCCUGAAAUGGGGGAUAGCUCGGCGAAAGCCGGAUUAAUAACCGCAUACGAUCCACGGAUGAAAGCAGGGAUUCGCAAGAACCUUGCUUUCUGGAGCGGCUAUGUCUGAUUAGCUAGUUGGCGGGUAAAGCCCACAAGGCGACGAUCAGUAGCUGGUCUGAGAGGAUGAUCA